GCGCCCGUAGCUCAGUGGAUAGAGCGCUUGACUACGGAUCAAGCUGUCGGGGGUUCAAAUCCUCUCGGGCGCUCCA
rnacentral:tRNA from 1 species